rnacentral:rRNA from 1 species
ACUCUGAUCCNGCCNUGCCGCGUGCAGGAUGACUGCCCUAUGGGUUGUAAACUGCUUUUAUACAGGAAGAAACACUGCUACGUGUAGCAGCUUGACGGUACUGUAAGAAUAAGGAUCGGCUAACUCCGUGCCAGCAGCCGCGGUAAUACGGAGGAUCCAAGCGUUAUCCGGAAUCAUUGGGUUUAAAGGGUCCGUAGGUGGAUAAUUAAGUCAGAGGUGAAAGUUUGCAGCUCAACUGUAAAAUUGCCUUUGAUACUGGUUAUCUUGAAUCAUUAUGAAGUGGUUAGAAUAUGUAGUGUAGCGGUGAAAUGCAUAGAUAUUACAUAGAAUACCAAUUGCGAAGGCAGAUCACUAAUAAUGUAUUGACACUGAUGGACGAAAGCGUGGGGAGCGAACAGGAUUAGAUACCCNNG